AAAUGAAUAGACGGGGGCCCGCACAAGCAGCGGAGCAUGUGGUUUAAUUCGAAGCAACGCGAAGAACCUUACCUAGACUUGACAUCUCCUGCAUUACCCUUAACCGGGGAAGUUCCUUCGGGAACAGGAAGACAGGUGGUGCAUGGUUGUCGUCAGCUCGUGUCGUGAGAUGUUGGGUUAAGUCCCGCAACGAGCGCAACCCUUAUUGUUAGUUGCUACCAUUUAGUUGAGCACUCUAGCGAGACUGCCCGGGUUAACCGGGAGGAAGGUGGGGAUGACGUCAAAUCAUCAUGCCCCUUAUGUCUAGGGCUACACACGUGCUACAAUGGCAAGUACAAAGAGAAGCAAUACCGCGAGGUGGAGCAAAACUCAAAAACUUGUCUCAGUUCGGAUUGUAGGCUGAAACUCGCCUACAUGAAGCUGGAGUUGCUAGUAAUCGCGAAUCAGAAUGUCGCGGUGAAUACGUUCCCGGGCCUUGUACACACCGCCCGU
rnacentral:rRNA from 1 species